CCUGCGGAAGGAUCAUUAAUGAAUUUAACGGCAGAGUUGUCGCUGGCCAUCUGGCAUGUGCACGCUCUGUUAAUUCAUCCACACACCUUUGUGCACCUUUCAUAGAUUGACAUACGGUGGAGUUCUUUCUUUACCAGUCUUUCUGUGCUAUAUCCUUACAAACAUCAGUAUCAGAAUGUCUCCUUGCGAUUAACGCAUUAAAUACAACUUUCAACAACGGAUCUCUUGGCUCUCGCAUCGAUGAAGAACGCAGCGAAAUGCGAUAAGUAAUGUGAAUUGCAGAAUUCAGUGAAUCAUCGAAUCUUUGAACGCACCUUGCGCUCUUUGGUAUUCCGAAGAGCAUGCCUGUUUGAGUGUCAUGUAUUCCUCAAUCUCUUCAGAUUUUUCUGUGGAAGAUUGGAUUUGGAAGCUGCUGGUUACACCUUGAUCAGCUCUUCUUAAAUGCAUUAGUGUGGAUGUUGUCAGAUGUUCUCCAGUGUAAUAAUCCAUUUGCGCUGCAAGGACUUUGGCAGAUUAUAUGUCCACGCUUCUAAUCGUCUGUUUCAGACAAUACCUGUUGCAUUUGACCUCAAAUCAGGUAGGAUUACCCGCUGAACUUAAGCAUAUCAAAAGCC
rnacentral:rRNA from 1 species